rnacentral:rRNA from 1 species
UGUAUGUGGGUAGUCCGCACGAGCGCACCUUAUCCUGAGUUGCCAGCACGUAAUGGUGGGAACUCUACGGAGACUGUCGGUGACAAACCGGAGGAAGGUGGGGACGACGUCAAGUCAUCAUGGCCCUUACGAGAUGGGCUACACACGUGCUACAAUGGCAAGUACAAAGGGUUGCAAACUCGCGAGAGUAAGCGGAUCCCAUAAAGCUUGUCGUAUUCCGGAUUGGAGUCUGCAACUCGACUCCAUGAAGUCGGAAUCGCUGGUAAUCGUGGAUCAGAAUGCCACGGUGAAUACGUUCCCGGGCCUUGUACACACCGCCCGUCACACCAUGGGAGUGGGCUGCACAAGAAGUGGAUAGCUUAACCUUCGGGAGGGCGUUCACCACUUUGUGGUUCAUGACUGGGGUGAAGUCGUAACAAGGUAGCCGUAGGGGAACCUGCGGCUGGAUCACCUCCUU